ensembl:lncRNA
GCCGGCGCGGCGGCCAUGGCGGCUGGGCCUCGGGCCUUCCUCGCGGCCGCCUGCGUGGCGGGGAGGAGGGGGUGCUCAGCGUCUGUGGUUGCUGGCUCGGCCUCACUGCUCUGCUCAAAAGGAGGAAGAAGAAAAAGAUGUCUUAAAUGCAAAGCCUCGUUGCCAGUUUUCCUCUAAGCUGGUCUGUAGAGCUGAAACUGCUGCAGCAUCUCUGCAUACACAGAGCUUCUCUUCUGAGGACGAGGAGCUUGGCUCUUCAGCAGUCACUGGAAAGGCCUCCUAACUUCAGGAAGCAGAAGUCCAUUUAAUCGGAGAGGUUUGCAGCUAUCAAUGCUGAGGCUCCUGAAUUCAAAGAAAUGUGUUGAGCAAGUUGUAGGCUUGUUCGCUCCAUGUGCCAGAAGAUAAAAAAAAUGGGCAUAUGCAGUUCUGGCUCAUAUCACUACUGUAGCUGUCAACCAGUACUGGCUACAGACAUGGACACAAUACAGGAAAGGAUAACUACUACAGAAAAAAGAUCUAUUACAUCUAUACAGGUCUUGCUGGAUUCUGCUUCACAAAUCAUGGACCCUAGCACUGUAGGCUCAGAAUACUGUGAUGUGUAUUUUCCUUUAAAAAAAUUCUCCAGCCUGGUGAUGUUUGCAUCACUCUGCUGCAUUUUGCUGACCAUACUGAAGGGUUCUGCUGCUAAGGAUUUACCAAAGACGGGGCAUAUGGUGCUUUUGAAGGACUGCUGUUGGGAUCUCUGGAGCAUUUAA